AGUGAACGCUGGCGGUAGGCCUAACACAUGCAAGUCGAACGGCAGCACAGUAAGAGCUUGCUCUUACGGGUGGCGAGUGGCGGACGGGUGAGGAAUAUAUCGGAAUCUACUUUUUCGUGGGGGAUCACGUAGGGAAACUUACGCUAAUACCGCAUACGACCUACGGGUGAAAGCAGGGGAUCUUCGGACCUUGCGCGAUUGAAUGAGCCGAUGUCGGAUUAGCUAGUUGGCGGGGUAAAGGCCCACCAAGGCGGCGAUCCGUAGCUGGUCUGAGAGGAUGGUCGGCCACACUGGAACUGAGACACGGUCCAGACUCCUACGGGAGGCAGCAGUGGGGAAUGUUGGACAAUGGGCGCAAGCCUGAUCCAGCCAUACCGCGUGGGUGAAGAAGGCCUUCGGGUUGUAAAGCCCUUUUGUUGGGAAAGAAAAGCUGCAGGUUAAUACCCAGCUGUUCUGACGGUACCCAAAGAAUAAGCACCGGCUAACUUCGUG
rnacentral:rRNA from 1 species